rnacentral:lncRNA from 1 species
AUGGCUGCAGAAUGCCCGAUGCAGUGGGGGUUAUAUCAUCUGACUCUGAAACUAGGCCUCAACCCACAGAGGUCAACCGGUCCGUUAAUUAGUCUUUCAGGCAUUGAGUCACACACAUGCAUGUUUGAAAGAAAAAGUCCAUUACAACUUGAAUGUUUCGUCACCAAAAUUCAAUCUGAUCCUUCCUCUCUCCCUUUUGUUCUAGGGGAAACAUGUUUUCCUCCUGAGCACUAUUUUGGGGUGAGCAAACGGACAGGGUGGAAGUUGGUGUCUACAGGGGUCCGGCGAUUUGUUUCUUUCAGGGAGGUAGGUGGUGAGCCGCCAGCAGGCCGCCGGUGGCCAGUGGCCCUGCACCCAGGUAAGGGACAAGCAUCGGGUCGCCUCCCAGCAGGAGUCUGCGCCCGGACUCGCCUCCCCAGCUGCGUGGCUCGGCCUGGGGCACCAGGCCAGGACGACGCGGGGACGGGGUGCUGGUGGGGCCGCGCGCGGUGUUGGGGUGCACUUGGGUGCACGAGAAUUGGGGGGCUGCCCCUGUGCAGUCGGGGCCACGCGCCCCAGGAGAGCCGCCUUUGCUCGAGAGCGGGGUCGCGCAGGGAAGUCCGCGGGUCUGGCCAGAAGCUUCUGUCCUAUGAAAGGCAGAAGGGGAGACGUCUGGCCCCUGGGGCGCCCGGGGCCGCGUGGCCUCGGGGUCGGGGCGCUCUCCCCGGGAGCGGGCCCCGCACCCUGGGAUGGAGCCUGGGGACAGGCCCCCGCGAGGGGCGGGCUCGCAGUGCCCGCUGCCCCCCGCCCCCCGCCGCUCCGGAUGCGCCCGGCGGGCCUGGCCCUGCCGCCCCCGCCCCACCCACCCCCAGCCCCAGGUCACGGCCCUGCACCACCCGGGGCUGCGCGUCCGCUUCCGCGAGCGAGCCGGGCGGUCGGGGCGGGAGCCGGGCAAUUGUUUCUCGCGGCGCCCCUCCAACCUCCAGCCUUCCAGCGCUUUCUGUUGGGCAGUCGAGGGGAGCCCGGGCAGACUUUUCCCGGGGCGCCGCAGCCCCGAGGGGGAGGCCGGAGCCCCGGAGUCCCGGCCCCUCCCUGCGCCCUCGUCCCCGCGGGGCCAGCCUCCGUGCACCAGCUCGAGCCACUGAUGCUGACCUGCCCACUCGGGCUGCCCCUCCCUGCGCGAGCCCGCCUCGGCCUUGGGGCUCAGCCCGCGGGAGGGACACGGUGCAGGUUGGUGAGGCGACGAGGCUUCCGUCCCCGCGACCCAGGUCGGCGCCCCGGCCGCCCCCGCCCCCGCCGAAACGUGGGAGUUGCACGGAGGUGGUUUGGAGACCGAGAAGAACCGAAUUUCCUGGGUUGCUGCUGCCCGCGACGAUGACGGCGAAGGUGACGACAUUUUUGAACUAA